rnacentral:ncRNA from 1 species
UCAAGGGCAGGGUGUAAUCCCCGACCGGCGGUAAAGUCCGCGAACACGCAAGUGUACGAUUUGGUGCAAUUCCAAAACCGACAGUACAGUCUGGAUGAAUGAAGAU